rnacentral:rRNA from 1 species
UACAGACCAAGUUGUUAAGAGCUAUUGGCGGAUGCCUUGGCAUUGACAGGCGAUGAAGGAUGCGUUUACCUGCAGUAAUCUUCGGUGAGCUGGUAUAGAGCUAUGACCCGGAGGUAUCCGAAUGGGGCAACCCGAUAGACUAAUAGUCUAUCAUUAUAUGUUGAAUACAUAGGCAUAUAAGGCGACACCCGCUGAACUGAAACAUCUUAGUAAGCGGAGGAAAAGAAAUCAAAGAGAUUCCCUGUGUAGCGGCGAGCGAAAGGGGAACAGCCUAAACCAUAUUUUUAAUAUGGGGUUGUAGGGUCGAUAACAUGGGAUCUUAAGUUUUAGUUGAAUACUUCUGGAAAGUUGAACGAUACAGGGUGAUAGUCCCGUAAACGAAAAAACAAAAGACGCUAAUCGAUACCUGAGUAGGGCUAGACACGUGAAACCUAGUCUGAAUCUGGGGAGACCACUCUCCAAGGCUAAAUACUAGUCAAUGACCUAUAGUGAACCAGUACUGUGAAGGAAAGGUGAAAAGAACCCUUGUUAAGGGAGUGAAAUAGAACCUGAAACCAGUAGCUUAUAAGCGGUCGGAGACCUAUAACUCUUCGGAGUAAUGGUUGACGGCGUGCCUUUU